rnacentral:rRNA from 1 species
CUCAGGAUGAACGCUGGCGGCGUGCUUAACACAUGCAAGUCGAGCGAAGCGGCGGAGUUCUUCGGAAUAAAGUUGACUGAGCGGCGGACGGGUGAGUAACGCUGGGUAACCUGCCUCAUACAGGGGGAUAACAGCUGGAAACGGCUGCUAAUACCGCAUAAGCGCACGGUACCGCAUGGUACAGUGUGAAAAACUCCGGUGGUAUGAGAUGGACCCGCGUCUGAUUAGCUAGUUGGUGGGGUAACGGCCUACCAAGGCGACGAUCAGUAGCCGACCUGAGAGGGUGACCGGCCACAUUGGGACUGAGACACGGCCCAAACUCCUACGGGAGGCAGCAGUGGGGAAUAUUGCACAAUGGGCGAAAGCCUGAUGCAGCGACGCCGCGUGAAGGAAGAAGUAUCUCGGUAUGUAAACUUCUAUCAGCAGGGAAGAAAAUGACGGUACCUGACUAAGAAGCCCCGGCUAACUACGUG